GUAGCUUGAGCGUGUGUUUCCUAACUAAAGUUAACUUUCUGUGUCUUUAUUGAUCCUCAGAGGGGUUCAUGGGCAAGAGGAGAUGCUGCGUGUUGAAAUGUGGCCGCAGGUCUCACGACCACCGCGGGAUUAGGAUCCCACACGGAGUUACCUUCAUUACAGCUGUUUACAACUAGUUUCAGCCAGUACAAGAAAGUUCCAACUGGUUACAACCAGUCACAACUAGUUACAACUGGUUAAAACCAGUUACGACUAGUUACAUCCAGUACAAGAUGGUUACAACUGGUUAAACCCAGUUACAACUAGUUAAAGCCAUUUACAACUAGUACAUGUUAGUUACAGCUAGUGUAGUUACAAGUUAGUUAUAACCAGUUAGUUAUAACUGUUGAAGUGUAUUAAAGACCUUUGAAAACGUAACUAUAAUCAAUAGUGAUUCAGAUAUUUAAGGUUUGUUUUUGUGUUCUCAUGAAAUGCUGGAGUUCCUUCACUCCACAUGGGUCCCAGUGAGAGGAACCCCCGAGGCACAGAGCACCCCCUGGACCAGGACCAGAGACGCUCCAGAGACCAGAUCUUUAAGCGGGACACCGACAGCAGGAGGUCCAAAGACCCCGGCGGUUCGUCCCUGGAGGGAAAUUCGACCUCUGCUGCUGUUGGUCCUGCAACGUGAAACCGUCUUCAGUAAGCAGGCAGUAAAGGAGAAGAAGAAGAACCGCGACUUCAGAGUAAAAGUUUCCCUUUCAGCGGAGUCUCUUUUGCGCAAACGAUUUCUUCCGAGACGCUCUGGAAGCUUCUCUGGAGGCCUCCAGCAGGUCCAGGGCUCCUUCAGCCCGACUGGACUCAAAGGGUCCCACCAGGAAGGAGGUUCCUCAGACCUGUGAGGAGUCCUCUUCCUCCUGUUGGAACUGUGACCGGCUGCUGAGGAGGUGCAUGGAGCUGCAGGAGGCGCUGUGUCGUGUCCGAGGAGGCCGGGAGGACAUGGAGGCCUCCACCAAGUCUCUCCACCACCAGGACCAGUCGAGUCCUGAGAUGGCCACUAACGAGGAUCAGUACCCUACACGGGCGGAGCCUCUCGCGGCGACCUGGACUCGGCCAACAAGCGGACCCAGUCGGAUCCCGGUAUAAACCGCGCUUCAUGAAGGCCUGGCUGAAAAUGUUCUGGUUCCUCCGCUAUUCGCCGACUCUGAACCUGAUGUGGUGCCACGUCUGCCGCUUCUACGCGGACGAGUCCCACCACAAAUGUGGUCUGGUCAAAGGUUCCCGUCAGUUUAAGACCCUGAAAAUCUGGCAGCACAGCACCAGCAUCUACCGCCAAGAAAGCGAGUACCGGCACCGAGAAACCACCCGCCUGCAGAUGACCGGCGAAAGCUGAAUUUGGUCUCUUGACCACCAGGGGGCGACUCCUCUGGUUGUAUAGGAGUAUAUGCUUCAUGUGUUAGAGCUACAUUAUCUCUACUGACCACCAGGGGGCGACUCCUCUGGAUAUAUAGAAGUCUAUGCUUCAUGUGUUAGAGCUGCAUUAUCUCUACUGUCCACCAGGGGGCGACUCCACAUGUUGUAUAGAAGUCUAUGCUUCAUGUGUUAGAGCUGCAUUAUCUCUACUGUCCACCAGGGUGCGACUCCACAUGUUGUAAAGAACCGGGCUAGACCUUUUAGUCUAGACCUGUUUAACACUAGUCUAGACUAUGAACCAGUUUCGACCCGUUAUGAAACUAACUGUUAUGAACCGGCCUAAACCGGUUUGGAACCAGUCUAAAUCACUUUGGAACUGGCCUAAACCAGUUUGGAAUCAGUCUAAACAAGUUCGUUGUUGACGGAAGUUUAAAUGGAAAAAACUUGUUUCUCUCGCCAAACUGUGAUUCUUAUAUUGUAUUUGUUUUAUUUUCUUAUUUCUUUUCGACCACAUUUUAUACAAACUAUGUGAAUAAAAGCAUUAAACUCAA